GGGGCCUUUUGUGUAGUUGGUAAUUUAAAGGAUAUUUUUGAGAAUGGUGAUGUGUUCAAGGUCAGGGUGAGGUGGCUUCCAUCACUGAACUUGCUCCACAUUUUGGAGGAAACCAAAAAUAUUUAAAAUUGUUUGUGAACAUGGGAAUUCUGUGAAAAUGGAGAAGCAGCUGAGCAGAGAAAUACAAGGAGGCCGGAAGCCGAGUGGAUUUGAGGACAUACCCGCCUGGGGACUUGUAGGGAAUGUUGAGGAAGCUUUGGACUUCCGCAGACUGUAGGAGGAGGUGCAAGCCGGUGUUCUCUAGAACUUCAAGGGCUAGAAGGCAGCACCCAAUACAAGAAUGAGGAAAGGACACACUGGGAAGUUUGAAGGUGGAAGAUGACUUUAAACUUCUGGGACUGAAGUGAGAAUUCUUGGAAAGAGUAUGGGAAUCGGAAGUAAAAUAUUGCAUUGCCUGAGGAGAUCUGAUCAAAAGCAUAUCACUCAACUGGGGACCUGAGAGUUGAAAGGGCUGUGAUCCUAGGUCUUGGAUAAUGUGAUUUCUGAGGCCAGGAUUGCCUCCUGGAAGAACUCAGAUAGACCAUCUCGAAGCUGAUAGGCAUCAGGAAUACGAUGCUCUUUGCUCCAUGUCUGGGCCUCCUCACCAUACGAACGAACGCUCUGUUCUCUCAUAUGAUCCUAUGGCUACUGCCUCACAGCUGUUCACUCUUGGACACAUGGUGGGAGGACAUGGCAGCCCUGAAAUGUCUGUGGCAAGUAACCUGUCCCUGAGGUCCAAGGUGCUAAAGGAGACAGAGAGGACCUUUCCUUUCAUCCCCAAAGGAAGGAGAGCAGGGAGGAAGCCCUCAAAGUUACAUCUCUAGGCUUGAUCCUUCUCUGAGGUCACAAAUAACAUGGUCUCACCCUGACAGGGGACCUCAUUUUGUCCACGGGCAGCAGUUUUAUGCUCCCGAGAUUUUUUGGAGUGGUCGUUCCUGACUGUGAAGUGUUUGCCAAGCGCGGAUGGAGGGUUUGCCUUUCCUGUGGCCAGCUGCCCCCUGGGUGUCCACACUGGAGUAGCUUUGGAGGAAGGUACACCUCCCUUCCAGGCCAGCCUCAAAGCCUGCCUGUGGCAGAAAACUGCUUGGCAUUUGGAUUUUGAAGUAGUGUGGCAAUUGAAUUAUAUUUAAGAUGUGACCAGAAAAGUCCAAGUGUACUUUGGAAGAAAACCCACAGCAUUAAGAAGUCUAAUUUUGUCAUGCAAGUCAUGUGAACACCAAACUUUAUCAUGCCGUAUUUGAGAAAACACUACCCUGAGGUGGGGCUGUGAUCCUGCUGGCCAGUUCAUGUGACUCUCCAGGGAAAGUGCCCCCCCUUCCCUGACCACCACUGAUGGUUUUUGGGAGCACCUGUCUGCCCCCUGCCUCACCAGCGCAGCAGAUUGUCACACUGGGGAGUUUUUGCCAAUUGGAUGGUUUUACAGCCAGGGAUAUGAAUGGGAAAAAGCACUUGCAGAAGGAAAAGCACAGCAUGACAGGCACCAUUGACAUAAAGUUUUAAUUCAUGCAAAACACACUAUUUUUCAAGGACUCAUAUAUAUGCAGCCAAAGGCUUAACAUAUGAAUGGGACAUAUUUUCCUUUAAAAUGAAAAAAAAAAAAAAGCAGAACUUUUUCAUGCAGAAGAUACUUCCAAUUUAAGCCCAGGUGCACCUGUACCCUACAGAGAGAAGCAGAAUCCCUCUGCCUCGGAGACUGGCUCCUAGAAGGCUCCUGAGCCAAUCAGCCACACUCAGGGGUCCGCACCUGGGGUCCACACAGCCGGGGUCAGUUGCUGCACCUGUAGCCUGUAGUCAAGGCGCCAGGCAGGGCGCAUCUGGAGGCAGGUACUUAAGCACAGGAGCCUAGGCCUUGGGAGCCCGGGAGUCAAGCAGCGGGGGGUAUGGGCUCCAGGCCGCUGGCAGCGAGAUUCCCGACUCCCGAUGGGUGAGCUUCAUCCCCGCGUCUGGAAGCUCAGCAGCCCUGCUCUCCUCUGCACGCACCUGGGUGGGAUCAGCCUGGCUCUGGGCCGCCCUGCAGCGCACAGGACAGAGCGGGCCUGCACACGUGGCUCACUUGGGCCGCAGGAGCUUGGCCUUACUUAAAAUCAAGAUGUUUUGAGAACGUCUCCAGGUUCCUGGCUUUUCUCAGAAGAGUAUGAAGCUCUCCAGGCUCCUAACACAACCGCUCGCCAUGGUCAGCAGCAGGACCCCUGGGUGUCAGCGCGCGGUGCAGGUGGCGUCCCCACCCCAUCUGUGUCCUCCUCCUCUACCUCUUGCCACCACAUCACAAACGCAUGAGCGGCUGUUUCCCCGCCCUCGGGGCUUCCAAUUAUGGAGCUCAGAAAGAUUGGAAGCCAAAGCAUGACCCCUUGUUUUGGACUCUGGACCCUCCCAGGGGCCCUCGUCCAGAUCGUGUUGCUUUAUUAACACAGGACAUGGGAAAAGCUGCUUCUAAUCCCAAAGGCAGGCCUGAGUUGGGCUGGGAACUGGGAGAGCAUUCUACGCGCAUUCUAUGUUGGGUCUUUGGGCAUAAAGUCAAACACAUGGAGCUGACCCUCAAGGUUUGGCUAAGUCACUCCAGGUGCUUCCAAUCCUGUCCCAUUUGAGAAGACUCCCAAGGAGCAGGAGGCUUGACUAGACACAACUGGCUUUGCCCCUGAACCCAAGGGGACAUGGCUGGAGGGAAUCUGCGUGCCCAGCAGCUUGGAAGGGCUUUCCAGGAUAACCUUAAUCCUCGGAGAGCUUCUCAAGACCAAUGUGGGGAAACUGAGGCCUGAGUCUAGACUUCAAUGAGAACCUGGAAGAGUGAGCUGCUUUUGCACAACCUCCCCCUCAACCCUUCUCUGCCAGUCAAGAUACCAGGCCCGUGUGACCUCGUUUCCUCUGCUCUCCCACCAAACCAGCAGACAUUCCUGACAGACCCCAGACUCUAAGGGCCUCGAUCCUGGACUUUGAGGAAAUUUAGUGGGGACCAGGACCCUGAAGACCGAAAGAACCCCUCAUUUGGGAGGGAGGGGGGAAGGAGCAAUUGCCAGGACAAGGUUCCACCCACAGCACUGAGCAAGCCAAGGCACCAAACCCUCAAAGAAAACCUGGAAUUUCCUGCACAAGGAGGCCAUCUUUCAGAACCCUACCACAAAGCUGGUAGAAAACAAAAAGGGCUCUGGGUUUUAGCUGGACCAACUCGAAGGUUGGCGUUUGAGAUUACAGCAAGAUGUGGGAGGGGAGAACAGUGGGGAAAGGUAGACUGUGGUCCCUUUACUGGCAAAGACCCUCAUCUUGCCAGGAUCUUCACUUUAAAGGCCCUGAAAACUAAGAUCCCUCCCGAAUACUCUUGAGGAAAUGCUAUUCUGAUAGGUGGCUAAAAUCAGACCUCUCUUUAGCCCCUUUAAAUUAGUGGGGUUUCCUAGGAUUAGGGUUCUCCAGCUGCAACAGCCACUCUGUGUCCAGCCUAAGCCUGUUCCACAUGGCUGCCAGGGGACUCGGGGGGCAAAGGGGACCCACGCAACUGAAGCUCCUGCUGGGGAGCACGUGGAAUGUGGCAGGUCUACUUGUUCACUGGCAAGUAAGGUAAAGUCUCCAGACCUCCCACUGUCCUUGACAGUUUUGGUAAGGAGAGUGGGAUGCUAAGACCUAGCUUUUCUGGGAAAGCAAGGACUGAUCCCUUGUAGGCUGGGUUAGGGGGUAGGAGAAGCAAAUAUCCUGGGACUCGGUGGCAGGUGCUGUCACCUUCUGCUGGUGGGUGAAGAGUCUCUCCGUGUUCUACUUGUGAAUGGGACUGUGUGGUGGGAGGUAGGAUGUAAACACGAAGCCCCAAUAGUCCUUUGGGUGGUUGCUCACCCUUCCAGUGGGAGAUGCUAUGAGCAGUUGAUGGGCUGCUGGAAACAGAGCACAUGGGCUUCGCUUACUGGUAAGAGCUGGUGUCUCCCCUUCAGUUUUCCCCAUGGAUCCCUCCCACUGGCCACUUUAAGGAAAAAGCCAUGUAUGCUAUGGAGCCGUGGGUGGGAGCAGGAUGGUGGCUCUGUUGGCUACAGGCACCGGCGUCCCCAUCCUACUUGGUCAUGGGCAGGAAAGGAUGCCUGGAUGGGGUUUCAAGGUCACAGCUGGAAGGGAAACCAAUGUGGUCUUGUGUACGGGGCCCUUUGGGCGGACCCAGUAUGCUUUUCAUUGUGUCUACACCUGAUUGUAAGAAUUGUGGGCUGUUUGCACAUCUUGGCUGUUGUAAAUAAUGUUGCAAUAAACAUAGGGGCACAUUA